GUGAGGUGAUGAUGAAGUUUAUCCAUUCUCUGAGUGCAGCGACGCUGCCCUCCUGCAGCACCCUGGUUCCUGUUCUAGGGGCCGGGUGCUGUGCGGCCUCCAGAGACCCUGCAGUGUCCCAGUGUCCUGCUGGGGGCUGCUGUGGCCUGUGGCCGGGCAGGAGGGGGGUGUCCUGGCAGGGCUGGAGCCCCCUCCGUGGGGGCUGCAUCCCCACCGAGACGAGGGAUGCUGUCUGAUCAC
rnacentral:snoRNA from 1 species